AGGAGGUUGGCUUAGAAGCAGCCAUCCUUGAAAGAGUGCGUAAUAGCUCACUGGUCAAGUGAUCGUGCGCCGACAAUGUAGCGGGGCUCAAGCACACCGCCGAAGCCGCGGACCCACAGCGUUUGUUCCCUUCACUGUCCCGUCUUGUGGGGGUGGUGGCAGGGGUUGUGGGUGGUAGGGGAGCGUCCUGCACCGGGGGAAGCCUGUGGGUGACUGCUGGUGGACGGUGCGGGAGUGAGAAUGCAGGCAUGAGUAGCGAUACUAGGGUGAGAAGCCCUAGCGCCGAAUGACCAAGGGUUCCAGGGCCAGGCUAGUCCGCCCUGGGUGAGUCGGGACCUAAGGCGAGGCCGACAGGCGUAGUCGAUGGAUGACGGGUUGAUAUUCCCGUACCGGCGAAGCACCGCCCAUGCUGACGCGCGGGUGCUAACCCACGCCCGGCCGCCAUAAUGGCCGCGCCUACUCCUUUCGGGGGGUGGUGUGGUUGUGGUGGUGGGGUCUGGGGACCCUCCGUGCAGGUAGGCAAGCGUGUUAACAGGGGUGACGCACAGUGGUAGCCCGGCGGACCUGAUGGCUUGGUCCGUUCAAGCGCGCAGCCCGUCCUCCAGGUAAAUCCGGGGGGCUGUCUUUGAUGACGGGGGUGAGGCGUGAUGGUGACCCCACGCUGGUGGGGGAUAGCAGGGUGAUCCUGGGGUGCCGAGAAAAGCCUCGACGCGAUGGUGCCAGCCGCCCGUACCCUAAACCGACACAGGUGGUCGGGCAGAGUAUGCCUAGGCGCACGAGUGAAUCAUGGUUAAGGAACUCGGCAAAAUGCCCCCGUAACUUCGGGAGAAGGGGGGCCCGAACCCUGAAGCCCUUUUUGCGGGCUAGGGGGGUGGGUCGCAGAGACCAGGGGGAAGCGACUGUUUACUAAAAACACAGGUCCGUGCGAAGCCGUAAGGCGAUGUAUACGGACUGACGCCUGCCCGGUGCUGGAAGGUUAAGAGGAACCAUCAACCCCCUUUAUUGUGGGGUGAAGUGGUGAAUUUAAGCCCCAGUAAACGGCGGUGGUAACUAUAACCAUCCUAAGGUAGCGAAAUUCCUUGUCGGGUAAGUUCCGACCUGCACGAAUGGCGUAACGACUUCCCCGCUGUCUCAACCAUGAGCUCGGCGAAAUUGCAGUACGAGUAAAGAUGCUCGUUUCGCGCAGAAGGACGGAAAGACCCCGGGACCUUUACUACAGCUUGGUAUUGGCGCCCGCUAUAGCUUGUGCAGGAUAGGUGGGAGACGUUGAAGCCGUUACGCCAGUAGCGGUGGAGUCGUCCUUGAAAUACCACUCUGGUUAUGGCGUGCGCCUGAACCUGGGCCCGUGAUCCGGGUUAGGGACAGUGCCUGGUGGGUAGUUUAACUGGGGCGGUUGCCUCCUAAAGUGUAACGGAGGCGCUCAAAGGUUCCCUCAGCCUGGUCGGCAACCAGGUGUUGAGUGCAAGUGCACAAGGGAGCUUGACUGUGAGACCGACGGGUCGAGCAGGUACGAAAGUAGGAACUAGUGAUCCGGCGAUCCCGUGUGGG
rnacentral:rRNA from 1 species